rnacentral:rRNA from 1 species
GGGGAUAGCCUUUCGAAAGAAAGAUUAAUACCCGAUGUCAUAGUCCUACCGCAUGAUGGGAUUAUUAAAGAAUUUCGGUAUGGGAUGGGGAUGCGUUCCAUUAGUUAGUUGGCGGGGUAACGGCCCACCAAGACAACGAUGGAUAGGGGUCCUGAGAGGAAGGUCCCCCACAUUGGAACUGAGACACGUUCCAAACUCCUACGGGAGGCAGCAGUGAGGAAUAUUGGUCAAUGGACGAGAGUCUGAACCAGCCAAGUAGCGUGAAGGAUGACUGCCCUAUGGGUUGUAAACUUCUUUUAUAUGGGAAUAAAACGUUCCACGUGUGGGAUUUUGUAUGUACCAUAUGAAUAAGGAUCGGCUAACUCCGUGCCAGCAGCCGCGGUAAUACGGAGGAUCCGAGCGUUAUCCGGAUUUAUUGGGUUUAAAGGGAGCGUAGGUGGAUUGUUAAGUCAGUUGUGAAAGUUUGCGGCUCAACCGUAAAAUUGCAGUUGAAACUGGCAGUCUUGAGUACAGUAGAGGUGGGCGGAAUUCGUGGUGUAGCGGUGAAAUGCUUAGAUAUCACGAAGAACUCCGAUUGCGAAGGCAGCUCACUGGACUGCAACUGACACUGAGGCUCGAAAGUGUGGGUAUCAAACAGGAUUAGAUACCCUGGUAGUCCACACAGUAAACG